rnacentral:tRNA from 1 species
CAGGAAGUAGUUUAAUUAGAAUACUAGCUUUGGGUGUUAGGGGUGGGGCGUUUAGCCUUCUUCUUGA